rnacentral:rRNA from 1 species
UUCAGCAGCCAUAUCGCCCUGCAGCUCUCAACUGGCAGCCCACUGAAGCUCAGCAGGGUUGAGCCUGGUCAGUGCCUGGAUGGGAGACCUCCUGGGAAGCUAUGGUUGCUGCUGGAA